rnacentral:tRNA from 1 species
UCCGCGAUAGCUCAGUCGGUAGAGCAGCAGACUGUUAAUCUGUUGGUCCCAGGUUCGAGUCCUGGUCGCGGAGCCA